GACGAACGCUGGCGGCGUGCUUAACACAUGCAAGUCGAACGAGUGGCGAACGGGGGAGUAACACGUGGGUGAUCUGCCUUGACCUUCGGGAUAAGCUUGGGAAACUGGGUCUAAUACCGGAUAGUGCAAGAUGAGCUCGCGGCAUAUCAGCUUGUGGGUGGGGUAAUGGCUAACAAGGCGCGACGGGUAGCCGGCCUGAGAGGGUGUACGGCCAAAUUGGGACGGUGAUACUGCCCAGACUCCUACGGGAGGCAGCAGUGGGGAAUAUUGUACAAUGGGCGGAAGCCAUAAGCAGCGACGCCGCGUGGGGGAUGAAGGCCUUCGGGUUGUAAACUCCUUUCUAUAGGGACGCGGUACCUGUAUAAGAAGCACCGGCUAACUACGUGCCAGCAGCCGCGGGAAUAC
rnacentral:rRNA from 1 species